UACGGAGGAGGCAAGCGUUCUCCGGAAUUAUUGGGCGUAAAGCGUCCGUCGGUGGCUCUUCAAGUCUGCUGUCAAAGAGUGGGGCUUAACCCUGCAAAGGCAGUGGAAACUGAAAGGCUAGAGGGCCGUAGGGGUAGAGGGAAUUCCCGGUGUAGCGGUGAAAUGCGUAGAGAUCGGGAAGAACAUCGGUGGCGAAAGCGCUCUACUGGACCGCAACUGACACUCAGGGACGAAAGCUAGGGGAGCGAAUGGG
rnacentral:rRNA from 1 species